rnacentral:tRNA from 1 species
GCCGCGGUAGCUCAGUCCGGGAGAGCGUCCGGCUGAAGACCGGAUUGUCGGGAGUUCAAAUCUCCCCCGCGGCA